GUGCUGGCGGCGUGCUUACCAUGCAAGUCGAACGCUGAACCACGUUUCGGCCGGGGAUGAGUGGCGAACGGGUGAGUAACACGUGGGUAAUCUGCCCUGCACUCUGGGAUAAGCCUUGGAAACGAGGUCUAAUACCGGAUAUCACUUCUUUUCGCAUGGAGAGAAGUUGAAAGUUCUGGCGGUGCAGGAUGAACCCGCGGCCUAUCAGCUUGUUGGUGGGGUAGUGGCCUACCAAGGCGACGACGGGUAGCCGGCCUGAGAGGGUGACCGGCCACACUGGGACUGAGACACGGCCCAGACUCCUACGGGAGGCAGCAGUGGGGAAUAUUGCACAAUGGGCGCAAGCCUGAUGCAGCGACGCCGCGUGAGGGAUGACGGCCUUCGGGUUGUAAACCUCUUUCGCCAGGGACGAAGCGCAAGUGACGGUACCUGGAUAAGAAGCACCGGCUAACUACGUGCCAGCAGCCGCGGUAAUACGUAGGGUGCGAGCGUUGUCCGGAUUUAUUGGGCGUAAAGAGCUCGUAGGCGGUUUGUCGCGUCGGCCGUGAAAUCUCCACGCUUAACGUGGAGCGUGCGGUCGAUACGGGCAGACUUGAGUUCGGUAGGGGAGACUGGAAUUCCUGGUGUAGCGGUGAAAUGCGCAGAUAUCAGGAGGAACACCGGUGGCGAAGGCGGGUCUCUGGGCCGAUACUGACGCUGAGGAGCGAAAGCGUGGGGAGCGAACAGGAUUAGAUACCCUGGUAGUCCACGCUGUAAACGUUGGGCGCUAGGUGUGGGCGACAUUCCACGUUGUCCGUGCCGUAGCUAACGCAUUAAGCGCCCCGCCUGGGGAGUACGGCCGCAAGGCUAAAACUCAAAGGAAUUGACGGGGCCCGCACAAGCGGCGGAGCAUGUGGAUUAAUUCGAUGCAACGCGAAGAACCUUACCUGGGCUUGACAUGCGCCAGACAUCCCCAGAGAUGGGGCUUCCCUUGUGGUUG
rnacentral:rRNA from 1 species